UGGGGAAUAUUGCACAAUGGGGGAAACCCUGAUGCAGCGACGCCGCGUGAGCGAAGAAGUAUUUCGGUAUGUAAAGCUCUAUCAGCAGGGAAGAAAAUGACGGUACCUGACUAAGAAGCCCCGGCUAACUACGUGCCAGCAGCCGCGGUAAUACGUAGGGGGCAAGCGUUAUCCGGAUUUACUGGGUGUAAAGGGAGCGUAGACGGAUGUGCAAGUCUGAAGUGAAAGCCCGGGGCUCAACCCCGGGACUGUUUUGGAAACUGUGUAUCUAGAGUGCCGGAGAGGUAAGCGGAAUUCCCAGUGUAGCGGUGAAAUGCGUAGAUAUUGGGAGGAACACCAGUGGCGAAGGCGGCUUACUGGGCCGCCACUGACGCUGAGGCGCGAAAGCUGGGGGAGCGAACAGGAUUAGAUACCC
rnacentral:rRNA from 1 species